rnacentral:rRNA from 1 species
UUGUUGCUGGCCUCUAGGGGCAUGUGCACGCUUCACUAGUCUUUCAACCACCUGUGAACUUUUGAUAGAUCUGUGAAGUCGUCCUUCAAGUCGUCAGACUUGGUUUGCUGGGAUUUAAACGUCUCGGUGUGACAACGCAGUCUAUUUACUUAACACACCCCAAAUGUAUGUCUACGAAUGUCAUUUAAUGGGCCUUGUGCCUAUAAACCAUAAUACAACUUUCAACAACGGAUCUCUUGGCUCUCGCAUCGAUGAAGAACGCAGCGAAAUGCGAUAAGUAAUGUGAAUUGCAGAAUUCAGUGAAUCAUCGAAUCUUUGAACGCACCUUGCGCCCCUUGGUAUUCCGAGGGGCAUGCCUGUUUGAGUGUCAUUAAAUUCUCAAACUCACAUUUAUUUGUGAUGUUUGGAUUGUUGGGGGUUGCUGGCUGUAACAAGUCGGCUCCUCUUAAAUGCAUUAGCAGGACUUCUCAUUGCCUCUGCGCAUGAUGUGAUAAUUAUCACUCAUCAAUAGCACGCAUGAAUAGAGUCCAGCUCUCUAAUCGUCCGCAAGGACAAUUUGACAAUUUGACCUCAAAUCAGGUAGGACUACCCGCUGAACUUAAGCAUAUCAAUAAGCGGAGGAA